CCUACGGGUGGCAGCAGUGAGGAAUAUUGGUCAAUGGUCGGGAGACUGAACCAGCCAAGCCGCGUGAGGGAUGAAGGUACAGAGUAUCGUAAACCUCUUUUGUCAGGGAACAAAGGCGGGGACGUGUCCCCGGAUGAGUGUACCUGAAGAAAAAGCAUCGGCUAACUCCGUGCCAGCAGCCGCGGUAAUACGGAGGAUGCGAGCGUUAUCCGGAUUUAUUGGGUUUCAAGGGUGCGCAGGCGGUCUGUUAAGUCAUCGGUAAAAGCCCGGGGCUCAACCCCGGCCCGCCGUUGAAACUGGCAGUCUCGAGUUGGAGAGAAGUAUGCGGAAUGCGCGGUGUAGCGGUGAAAUGCAUAGAUAUCGCGCAGAACUCCGAUUGCGAAGGCAGCAUGCCGGCUCCACACUGACGCUGAGGCACGAAAGCGUGGGUAUCGAACAGGAUUAGAUACCCUUGUAGUC
rnacentral:rRNA from 1 species